rnacentral:rRNA from 1 species
GACGAACGCUGGCGGCGUGCCUAAUACAUGCAAGUAGAACGCACAGUUUAUACCGUAGCUUGCUACACCAUAAACUGUGAGUUGCGAACGGGUGAGUAACGCGUAGGUAACCUGCCUGGUAGCGGGGGAUAACUAUUGGAAACGAUAGCUAAUACCGCAUAAUAUUGAUUAUUGCAUGAUAAUUGAUUGAAAGAUGCUAUUGCAUCACUACCAGAUGGACCUGCGUUGUAUUAGCUAGUAGGUGAGGUAACGGCUCACCUAGGCGACGAUACAUAGCCGAACUGAGAGGGUGAUCGGCCACACUGGGACUGAGACACGGCCCAGACUCCUACGGGAGGCAGCAGUAGGGAAUCUUCGGCAAUAGAUGAAAGUCUGACCGAGCAACGCCGCGUGAGUGAAGAAGGUUUUCGGAUCGUAAAGCUCUGUUGUAAGAGAAGAACGGGUGUGAGAGUGGAAAGCUCACACUGUGACGGUAUCUUACCAGAAAGGGACGGCUAACUACGUG